CUACGGGAUGCAGCAGUGGGGAAUAUUGCACAAUGGGCGCAAGCCUGAUGCAGCCAUGCCGCGUGUAUGAAGAAGGCCUUCGGGUUGUAAAGUACUUUCAGCGGGGAGGAAGGGAGUAAGGUUAAUACCUUUGCUCAUUGACGUUACCCGCAGAAGAAGCACCGGCUAACUCCGUGCCAGCAGCCGCGGUAAUACGGAGGGUGCAAGCGUUAAUCGGAAUUACUGGGCGUAAAGCGCACGCAGGCGGUUUGUUAAGUCAGAUGUGAAAUCCCCGGGCUCAACCUGGGAACUGCAUCUGAUACUGGCAAGCUUGAGUCUCGUAGAGGGGGGUAGAAUUCCAGGUGUAGCGGUGACAUGCGUAGAGAUCUGGAGGAAUACCGGUGGCGAAGGCGGCCCCCUGGACGAAGACUGACGCUCAGGUGCGAAAGCGUGGGGAGCAAACAGGAUUAGAUACCCGAGUAGUC
rnacentral:rRNA from 1 species